CCCUUAGAUGUUCUGGGCUGCACGCGCGCUACACUGACGCACGCAACAGGUGCCUGCUCCGAGAGGACUGGGUAAUCAUUUGAGUGUGCGUCGUGAUGGGGAUAGAAUAUUGUAAUUAUUACUCUUCAACGAGGAAUUCCUAGUAAGCGCCAGUCAGCAGCUUGCGCUGAUUACGUCCCUGCCCUUUGUACACACCGCCCGUCGCUCCUACCGAUGGGUGAUCCGGUGAAUAAUUCGGACCUGGAUCUAAGCCGGCAACGGUUUGGACUUGGGAAAGUCUAGUGAACCUUAUCACUUAGAGGAAGGAGAAGUCGUAACA
rnacentral:rRNA from 1 species